ACUCUUGUUUCUCUUCAGAUCGUACAAAUCUUUCCCCUUUUCCUAAAGAUUUCCAUGCAGGGGAACAACAAGACUUAUCCUAAAGUUUGAUGCCCUACUGAGAGGUAGGGU